CUUUGAGACUGUCACUAAAUAGAUUGGCUCAAUAGGUAGGAUUUUUCUUUGGUUUAAGCAUGCGCAGUAGGCGCUUGAAUAAGUCUUAUGGAGAGAGCUAAGGCCUGAGUCAGUGUAGGGCCGCGUGGCCUAAUGGAUAAGGCGUCUGAUUCCGGAUCAGAAGAUUGGGGGUUCGAGUCCCUUCGUGGUCGCUGCGUGCAUUUGCUUUUUAAAAACCUACCUUAAAAUUUCCCAUUCUCAAAUUUGCUUUUCAAACUCUUGUCUGGUACCCCGGAAGGAAGACCAGCAUGUUUGUAUUAAUGGCUUAAUAAAGCUUGCAAAU
rnacentral:lncRNA from 1 species